rnacentral:rRNA from 1 species
ACGAACGCUGGCGGCGCGCCUAACACAUGCAAGUCGAACGAGCGAGAGAGAGCUUGCUUUCUCAAGCGAGUGGCGAACGGGUGAGUAACGCGUGAGGAACCUGCCUCAAAGAGGGGGACAACAGUUGGAAACGACUGCUAAUACCGCAUAAGCCCACGGUGCCGCAUGGCACAGAGGGAAAAGGAGCAAUCCGCUUUGAGAUGGCCUCGCGUCCGAUUAGCUAGUUGGUGAGGUAACGGCCCACCAAGGCAACGAUCGGUAGCCGGACUGAGAGGUUGAACGGCCACAUUGGGACUGAGACACGGCCCAGACUCCUACGGGAGGCAGCAGUGGGGAAUAUUGCACAAUGGGGGAAACCCUGAUGCAGCGACGCCGCGUGGAGGAAGAAGGUCUUCGGAUUGUAAACUCCUGUUGUUGAGGAAGAUAAUGACGGUACUCAACAAGGAAGUGACGGCUAACUACGUGCCAGCAGCCGCGGUAAAACGUAGGUCACAAGCGUUGUCCGGAAUUACUGGGUGUAAAGGGAGCGCAGGCGGGAAGACAAGUUGGAAGUGAAAUCCAUGGGCUCAACCCAUGAACUGCUUUCAAAACUGUUUUUCUUGAGUAGUGCAGAGGUAGGCGGAAUUCCCGGUGUAGCGGUGGAAUGCGUAGAUAUCGGGAGGAACACCAGUGGCGAAGGCGGCCUACUGGGCACCAACUGACGCUGAGGCUCGAAAGUGUGGGUAGCAAACAGGAUUAGAUACCCUGGUAGUCCACACUGUAAACGAUGAUUACUAGGUGUUGGAGGAUUGACCCCUUCAGUGCCGCAGUUAACACAAUAAGUAAUCCACCUGGGGAGUACGACCGCAAGGUUGAAACUCAAAGGAAUUGACGGGGGCCCGCACAAGCAGUGGAGUAUGUGGUUUAAUUCGACGCAACGCGAAGAACCUUACCAAGUCUUGACAUCCUGCGACGGUGCUGGAAACAGAACUUUCCUUCGGGACGCAGAGACAGGUGGUGCAUGGUUGUCGUCAGCUCGUGUCGUGAGAUGUUGGGUUAAGUCCCGCAACGAGCGCAACCCCUGUCCUUAGUUGCCAGCAUGUAGAGAUGGGAACUCUAAGGAGACUGCCGUAGAUAAUACGGAGGAAGGUGGGGAUGACGUCAAAUCAUCAUGCCCUUUAUGUCCUGGGCUACACACGUACUACAAUGGCUGUAACAGAGAGAAGCAACACCGCGAGGUAGAGCGAAACUCUAAAAGCAGUCUCAGUUCGGAUUGAAGGCUGAAAUUCGCCUUCAUGAAGCCGGAAUUGCUAGUAAUGGCAGGUCAGCAUACUGCCGUGAAUACGUUCCCGGGCCUUGUACACACCGCCCGUCACACCAUGAGAGUUGGAAAUACCCGAAGCCUGUGAGCUAACCUAUGAGGCAGCAGUCGAAGGUAGAGCCAAUGAUUGGGGUG